rnacentral:snRNA from 1 species
ACGGUAAUUUCUCAACUUCCGUU